UGAUAUGUAAAUUUUUUUUAAUUUAAUUUCAGAAUAUAUAGAUACUAUUGACUACACAACAAAAUCUUAUUUUACAUUGAAAUGGACAGUGAUCCGAGAUCUCCUGCGUCAAGAGCAGCAAGCUACCGAUUAUUGAGUCAAGAGGAAAGAGAGAUUAAGAAAAACAGCAUAUAGAACCUAUAUAUGCUGUACCUAUGGUUAUCUAGGGAAAGGUAACAGGAGGGUCAUCCCAUCUUGUGCUGUAAAAGUUGUACGCGAUGUUUUUCCCGAUCCAAACGGAGCAUACGUUGGGUUUAUGUAUGCGGAGGAUUAUGAUGCAUCCGAGAUGG